UACGUAGGGAGCAAGCGUUGUCCGGAAUCAUUGGGCGUAAAGCGCGCGUAGGUGGCCUCAUAAGUCCGCUGUGAAAGUCAAAGGCUCAACCUUUGAAAGCCGGUGGAUACUGUGAGGCUAGAGUACGGAAGAGGCGAGUGGAAUUCCUGGUGUAGCGGUGGAAUGCGCAGAUAUCAGGAGGAACACCAAUAGCGAAGGCAGCUCGCUGGGACGGUACUGACGCUGAGGCGCGAAAGCCAGGGGAGCAAACGGG
rnacentral:rRNA from 1 species